UGGAAUUUCACCCCGAAAUUUCUAGCUAGUCAAAACAUUUAAGUGACUCUGCAGUGAAACCUUAAUAUUUUGCACUUGGCCAUGAGAUGGAGCCCUCUGGGGUUGUUAAAAAAAAGGAUGGAUAUUACUUACUGGUCCACUAAAACCCGCGAGCUGCGUGAUCAUCAGACACACUAUGGAAAUGAUGAGUCUGGUGCGGCAGAAAAUCCACACAACCCUCCGGAGAGAAGCAUCGUCGGGCCCGCUUUCUUUCAGUUCUUCCUGCCACAGUCUCUCCAGCCUUCUACAGUUGACGUCUGAAGACUCAUGCCUUGACAAAGACCAUACAUCAUCC
rnacentral:lncRNA from 1 species